GAUGAACGCUGGCGGCGUGCUUAACACAUGCAAGUCGAACGAAGCAUUUAGAACAGAUUAUUUCGGUUUGAAGUUCUAUAUGACUGAGUGGCGGACGGGUGAGUAACGCGUGGGUAACCUGCCUUGUACUGGGGGAUAGCAGCUGGAAACGGCUGGUAAUACCGCAUAAGCGCACAAUGUUGCAUGACAUGGUGUGAAAAACUCCGGUGGUAUAAGAUGGACCCGCGUCUGAUUAGCUAGUUGGUGAGAUAACAGCCCACCAAGGCGACGAUCAGUAGCCGACCUGAGAGGGUGACCGGCCACAUUGGGACUGAGACACGGCCCAGACUCCUACGGGAGGCAGCAGUGGGGAAUAUUGCACAAUGGAGGAAACUCUGAUGCAGCGACGCCGCGUGAGUGAAGAAGUAAUUCGUUAUGUAAAGCUCUAUCAGCAGGGAAGAUAGUGACGGUACCUGACUAAGAAGCUCCGGCUAAAUACGUGCCAGCAGCCGCGGUAA
rnacentral:rRNA from 1 species